rnacentral:lncRNA from 1 species
UUGAAAGCCUUUUAAAUCUUCCUGCAUUUUAUCCCCAUUGACUGGGUUUUCUAUAACCUAAAAGAUAUCAGUAUUGUCUGCAAGUAUGAGGAUUUUCAUACAGCAUUCCGUUUUGCUUUUCUCUCUCCUAAUCAUCACUUUUCGGAAGAAGCUACAAUCAUCUCAGUUAGGGGAGGGUGUUAUGGGACGUGCUGUACCUUUCAAAGUCAGGCUUCCUGCAGAUAGCUAGUUCUGUAAUGAGGCAGCAGACUGCAUAGACCGCCAAAGGUCUCCCUCACAGAGGCUGGCCUUGUUAUCAUGUACUAUUCAUCUUCAAGUAUACAACUUAGUGCAAAUGAAAGUAAUUAAUUAACCAUAACAAACCUGUCAAAAAGCUAUUUAGGAUUUUGACAGAAAAAAAAAUUUAACAUUUGCUUUAAGUGGAAAACAAAAAUCCUAGCUCAGAAAAUUCAGAAGCAAUUCUAUUUAUGCAAGCUUUUCCAUUAUUGCUCCCCCUUAAUUACAUAAGUAGCAUUUAAAUUAAUUUUCAGUCCUUUUGAUUUAUAUUAAUUGU